GAGGCACUAGAAAUUUAUUGAUAAAAGAGGUAAAAAAGUUCUCAAAACUGAGAUUCAUUAUGCUUGAAUCAAUAAAGAAUAAGUACGAAUAACAGAUAUAUUACUCCUGCUUCUUGAUUUAUUUCCUGUGUGCAAAAUAUGACCUGUGCAUAUUGGUAACAUUCAAAGGUAAAAUGGUAAAAAGAUACCAAAAACAAAAAGAAUGAACCAUGGAUUUAACCCCUUGGUAUUUAUUUCCUGUGUGCAAAAUAUGACCUGUGCAUAUUGGUAACAUUCAAAGGAAAGGUAAAAUGGUAAAAAGAUACCAAAAACAAAAAAGAAUGAACCAUGGAUUUAACCCCUUCGUUUUUAUGGCCACUCUUAAGUGACUUUCAACAGAUGUAGAGAUCAAAUCUCAACAUCUGCUACAGUUUUCCUUAUUCAUAGG
rnacentral:lncRNA from 1 species